rnacentral:rRNA from 1 species
UACAGAGGUCCCGAGCGUUGUUCGGAUUCAUUGGGCGUAAAGGGUGCGUAGGCGGCGGGGUAAGUUUGAUGUGAAAUCCCGGGGCUCAACCCUGGAAUUGCAUUGAAUACUACCUUGCUAGAGUACCGGAGAGGAAACUGGAAUUUACGGUGUAGCAGUGAAAUGCGUAGAGAUCGUAAGGAAGACCAGUGGCGAAGGCGAGUUUCUGGACGGUAACUGACGCUGAGGCACGAAGGCCAGGGGAGCAAAACGGG